AUAAAAAUAAUAACGCUAAGCGCAAAACUCAAUAACAAAAACAAGAUUCAGCUCCACACAUAACAAGAACAAAACGUGCGAGUGCAGCAAACUGAUUUUUUUGGAGAAUGGGGGAACAACUUCCUGCGCAUCCAAAGCAAUCCGCUUGCUUUAAGCAACCCGGGAUGGGUUCCAGGGCGGCAAUGCCACCGGCUUAAAAGAACAAGAAAAGCUCAAGAACAACAAGAACACCAUUAAGGGGAGCGAAAGCUCCCCUUUGAGCUUUAUGGCUGCAUACUCAUCAAGCAGGU
rnacentral:sRNA from 1 species